GACGAACGCUGGCGGCGUGCUUAACACAUGCCAGUCGAACGGAAAGGCCCUGCUUUUGUGGGGUGCUCGAGUGGCGAACGGGUGAGUAACACGUGAGUAGCCUGCCCUUGACUUUGGGAUAACUUCAGGAAACUGGGGCUAAUACCGGAUAGGAGCUCCUGCUGCAUGGUGGGGGUUGGAAAGUUUCGGCGGUUGGGGAUGGACUCGCGGCUUAUCAGCUUGUUGGUGGGGUAGUGGCUUACCAAGGCUUUGACGGGUAGCCGGCCUGAGAGGGUGACCGGCCACAUUGGGACUGAGAUACGGCCCAGACUCCUACGGGAGGCAGCAGUGGGGAAUAUUGCACAAUGGGCGGAAGCCUGAUGCAGCAACGCCGCGUGCGGGAUGACGGCCUUCGGGUUGUAAACCGCUUUCGCCUGUGACGAAGCGUGAGUGACGGUAAUGGGUAAAGAAGCACCGGCUAACUACGU
rnacentral:rRNA from 1 species